GGCAGUGGUAGUUGUGUGGUUAAUACAUUAGACUACUAUUCAAAAGCUUGGGAGUUCAAAUCCCAGUGCUGCCA